AUGCAACCUGACAUUCCUGAGGAUAAUGAUUUAUCAUGUUCGCAUGAAAAGGUUGGCGACCAUGAUGUCAACCAAUUACAAAUUCAACAAAAUUCAUCAUCGCCACAAGACCUGGUUAUUGAUUCUGUGCUAGAGGUGAGGGAAACGAGGAAUAUAAUGGGUGAACCUAUUUCAAGACAGAACCAACAAGGGACUAGAACUGAACACCCACACCCAGCUCGCUCAAAAAGAAGGCGUACUUCUUCCAUCAAGGCUGCUUCCAAAGUAGUUUUAAAGACUUCAACAUAUCCCAACAAGCGGAAUGUUGCGUAUAGUACUAUUUGGAGUACCGAUCCAAGAAUUAAGGCUGGUGGUAUUGAGUUAGGUGCUGAAUUUGCUCUUGUGUGCAUAGACGAACCUAUUCUUGAUAAUGAGGAGUUAGUAAGGGAAGUUUCUGAUUGCAAGAAAAUUGGCGAGGCUUUCACUUCAGGAUACUUAAUUGCCUGGCCUUCAGCUUUUAUUCGAGAGAAGGAUAGUUGA
rnacentral:rRNA from 1 species